rnacentral:rRNA from 1 species
ACGGGAGGCAGCAGUGGGGAAUAUUGCACAAUGGGCGAAAGCCUGAUGCAGCGACGCCGCGUGAGCGAAGAAGUAUUUCGGUAUGUAAAGCUCUAUCAGCAGGGAAGAAAAAUGACGGUACCUGACUAAGAAGCACCGGCUAAAUACGUGCCAGCAGCCGCGGUAAUACGUAUGGUGCAAGCGUUAUCCGGAUUUACUGGGUGUAAAGGGAGCGCAGGCGGUACGGCAAGUCUGAUGUGAAAGCCCGGGGCUCAACCCCGGUACUGCAUUGGAAACUGUCGAACUAGAGUGUCGGAGGGGUAAGCGGAAUUCCUAGUGUAGCGGUGAAAUGCGUAGAUAUUAGGAAGAACACCGGUGGCGAAGGCGGCUUUCUGGACUGUAACUGACACUGAGGCACGAAAGCGUGGGGAGCAAACAGGAUUAGAUACCCUGGUA